GGUAGAAUGGCCGAAUAUUAGGUGGGGGGCUGUAAACCCCCUUAUGGAGGUUUGAAUCCUCUUUUUACCA